GUGGGGAAUAUUGGACAAUGGGCGAAAGCCUGAUCCAGCCAUGCCGCGUGUGUGAAGAAGGUCUUCGGAUUGUAAAGCACUUUAAGUUGGGAGGAAGGGUAGUAACCUAAUACGUUGCUACUUUGACGUUACCGACAGAAUAAGCACCGGCUAACUUCGUGCCAGCAGCCGCGGUAAUACGAAGGGUGCAAGCGUUAAUCGGAAUUACUGGGCGUAAAGCGCGCGUAGGUGGUUCAGUAAGUUGGAAGUGAAAUCCCCGGGCUCAACCUGGGAACUGCUUUCAAAACUGCUGAGCUAGAGUGCGGUAGAGGGUGGUGGAAUUUCCUGUGUAGCGGUGAAAUGCGUAGAUAUAGGAAGGAACACCAGUGGCGAAGGCGACCACCUGGACUGAUACUGACACUGAGGUGCGAAAGCGUGGGGAGCAAACAGGAUUAGAUACCCGGGUAGUCC
rnacentral:rRNA from 1 species